CGUUAAGAAGCUAAUAUGGUUCUAGCGUUAGCCUUUUAAGCUAAAGAUAGGUGAAUACCAAUCACCCUUAAUGA
rnacentral:tRNA from 1 species